rnacentral:rRNA from 1 species
AACUAACGCUGGCGGCGCGUCUUAAACAUGCAAGUCAAACGGGUAGCAAUACCAGCGGCGAACGGGUGAGUAAUACAUGGAUAACCUACCUUUAAGUUGGGAAUAACACAGAGAAAUUUGUGCUAAUACCGAAUGUGACGGUUCAGCAAAGGCUGGAUUGGUUAAAGCAGCAAUGCGCUUAGAGAUGGGUCCAUGGCUGAUUAGCUAGUUGGUGGGGUAAAGGCCCACCAAGGCGACGAUCAGUAGCCGGCCUGAGAGGGUGAACGGCCACAAUGGAACUGAGACACGGUCCAUACUCCUACGGGAGGCAGCAGUUAAGAAUCUUGCUCAAUGGGCGAAAGCCUGAAGCAGCGACGCCGCGUGAACGAUGAAGGUCUUCGGAUUGUAAAGUUCAGUAAGUAGGGACGAAAAAAAUGACGGUACCUACCUAAAGCACCGGCUAACUACGUGCCAGCCGCCGCAGUAAAAC